UGGGGAAUAUUGCACAAUGGGCGCAAGCCUGAUGCAGCCAUGCCGCGUGUAUGAAGAAGGCCUUCGGGUUGUAAAGUACUUUCAGCGGGGAGGAAGGUGUUGUGGUUAAUAACCACAGCAAUUGACGUUACCCGCAGAAGAAGCACCGGCUAACUCCGUGCCAGCAGCCGCGGUAAUACGGAGGGUGCAAGCGUUAAUCGGAAUUACUGGGCGUAAAGCGCACGCAGGCGGUCUGUCAAGUCGGAUGUGAAAUCCCCGGGCUCAACCUGGGAACUGCAUCCGAAACUGGCAGGCUUGAGUCUUGUAGAGGGGGGUAGAAUUCCAGGUGUAGCGGUGAAAUGCGUAGAGAUCUGGAGGAAUAUCGGUGGCGAAGGCGGCCCCCUGGACAAAGACUGACGCUCAGGUGCGAAAGCGUGGGGAGCAAACA
rnacentral:rRNA from 1 species